GCUCUCGUAGUGAAAUGGAUAUCACGACUGGCUUCGAACCAGUUAUUGGGGGUUCGAAUCCCUCCGAGAGCACAA
rnacentral:tRNA from 1 species